UGGGGAAUAUUGCGCAAUGGGCGAAAGCCUGACGCAGCAACGCCGCGUGAGUGAUGAAGGCCUUCGGGUCGUAAAGCUCUGUCGGAGGGAACGAAUGCUCUUGAGGUUAACAGCCUCGGGAGGUGACGGUACCCUCAAAGGAAGCACCGGCUAACUCUGUGCCAGCAGCCGCGGUAAUACAGAGGGUGCUAGCGUUGUUCGGAAUCACUGGGCGUAAAGGGCGUGUAGGUGGCAAGGUGUGUCUGACGUGAAAGCCCUCGGCUUAACCGAGGAAGUGCGUCGGAAACUACCUAGCUCGAGUGCGAGAGAGGAUGGCGGAAUUCCCAGAGUAGAGGUGAAAUUCGUAGAUACUGGGAGGAACACCAGAGGCGAAGGCGGCCAUCUGGCUCGUAACUGACACUGAGACGCGAAAGCGCGGGGAGCAAACAGGAUUAGAUACCCUCGUAGUCCCUGAGCGGGCUGGCAAGGCG
rnacentral:rRNA from 1 species